GACGAACGCUGGCGGCGUGCUUAACACAUGCAAGUCGAACGAUGAAGCCUAGCUUGCUAGGUGGAUUAGUGGCGAACGGGUGAGUAAUACGUGAGUAACCUACCUUUAACUCUGGGAUAAGCCCGGGAAACUGGGUCUAAUACCGGAUACGACCAAUCUCCGCAUGGGGUGUUGGUGGAAAGCGUUAUGUAGUGGUUAUAGAUGGGCUCACGGCCUAUCAGCUUGUUGGUGAGGUAACGGCUCACCAAGGCAACGACGGGUAGCCGGCCUGAGAGGGUGACCGGCCACACUGGGACUGAGACACGGCCCAGACUCCUACGGGAGGCAGCAGUGGGGAAUAUUGCACAAUGGGCGCAAGCCUGAUGCAGCGACGCCGCGUGAGGGAUGACGGCCUUCGGGUUGUAAACCUCUGUUAGCAGGGAAGAAGAGAGAUUGACGGUACCUGCAGAGAAAGCGCCGGCUAACUACGUG
rnacentral:rRNA from 1 species